rnacentral:lncRNA from 10 species
UGAAACCCCGCCUUCAAGCCUAAAACAGCCUGAAGGAUGAAAAACCAGACUUCUGGUGCCUGAUGAAGCCUGCCCUUUCCUGACUGAUUCUAAAUAAUGCCUACCUGCCAACUGGGAAGGCAGGGUGGAGCCUUCGGAAAUUCAUGACCUUCGCAGGGGAGAGGAGCUUGGCCUCUCCUAUUCCUGUGUGGUGACCUGGGAUUCAAACUGUGAGGCGGAAAACCUGCUAGCAGGAGUCUCGCUUUGCUGAGAGUUAUUUUUCUUUUCCUUUUUAUCCAAUAAAUUCCGUCUUCUCACGCUUCUAUGUGUCUGUGACCCUACUCUUUCCUGGUCGUGUGACAAGAGCCUGGUUUUAGCUGACCUAAGAAGAAAGUUCUGCAACAUUUUUGGUGUCCAGACGUGAGUCUUGAGGAAGGAAUACGAGUUUUGAAUUUUUGAAUUGCUGUUAAAACUUUCAUCAUGAACACUGAAGUGAGUGAAAAGAGACUUUUGCAGUCAUUUUUUUGCUGGCUGCAGAUGACAGUGACACCCUGGGAGUUGAGAAAUGCUUGUAAGAUGGAAGGAGGCUGUGUCCCUGAAUGAUCACCUGGAAGAGAGCCACCUUAGCCAAUGAAACUCCUGCUAUGAAUGUUUGCUGAGCAAGAAAUAUACUUACUGCUUUAUAUGCCUUUGAAGCUAUAGGUUCAUAUUGUUACCACAAUUUAAAGUGCUAUAAUAAAAAGAGUUCAGGAAGCAGGCACAUGGAAGCAAUAAGAGCAACAAACAUUUACACAGUUCUCAGGUCCCUGGACCAUGAAGGGCCACAUCCAAGGAGCUACCCCAGGAGGCCUCUCAUUUGCAUUUGUCCCCGCUAAUGCAGGACAGAGAUCAUGGAAGUUGGGCCCGACUGGAUGAGAUUUGGGGGUCUUUGGAAGUGGAGAAUGUGUUUGCCCUGGGGAAGAGAGGUGAUGUCUAGGAGACCUCUUCACUCAGGGCAAGCUCUAUGACCUGCUUUGACUCCAGAAUGUGGUAGAAGUGGCAUCACAUAAAUUGCAGAGCCUAGGCUUCAAGAGACCUUGCAACUUGCCUCUCACUGACUUGAAGUGCUCCCAUCAGAGCAUCUUGUAAGGAGCAGGUGGAGCAUGUGGACAAGCCAUCCCCACCAGCCCCUGAGACAUGUGAGAGAGGCCAGAACAGGCCAUCCGGACCCCACUGUGCUGGUGGAUGAGACAGCAGAAGGAAUAUCAACCUACCAACAGAAUCCUGAGAAAUGCUCACUCUUACUUCAAGCUGCUGCAUUUUGAUGUUAUGAAACCAUAAAUAACUUAUGAAGUCAUCUUUGCUGACUUAAAGUUUUCCAUAACUUUAUUAUAACAUAUCAAAAUUAUGAAAAAUGUGAAAAGUAGAAAACUGAUGAAUUUUGCUUCUUCAUAUGGUCUUUAAGAAUCUCAAAGGCACUGAAGUUUUUUAUCUUUUCUGUCUUAGAAUAAAAAACCUUGAAUGAAAAUCUGCUUCUUGGAAAAGCAGCAAGGUUUAUGCAGAGGCAAUCUGGUAUUUGUGUGCACUGGCAGCUGAUCAUACCCAGCAUGCACGCACUCUCAGGGCAGAGUCUGAUGCCCCACAUAAUGGGGCAUGGUAAGGACUCCCAUGUCCUUGAGAUAAAAUGAUAAGGAAAAUACACACUGCUAUUAGAAUAACAGGCCCAGCUUCUGCACAUUUUAAUUCCCAAAGUUUUCAUGAAAGACAAUGAUUUUUUGGUACCAUGUUUAACUCUACAAGAAUCAGUAGUGAAAACUAAAAAUGAUACUUUGUGAAAGUUCAUUAAUUUUGUUUUCAGCCAGUGGUGGCCUUGGUCAGAUAGAAUCAAAUCUAUGAUACUUUUUAUCAGAAAUGCUUAUACUGUGUACAAACCCAAAGUGAUGGCUUUCAAAGAUUGAAUUUGAUUAUUUUCUGUAUGGUGCAGAUGAAAAAUUACUACACAGGAGAAGGUGGGUUGGAGGUGCUCACGAGUAACCAGGAAACAGUCUGAAGUUUUUCUGAUACUUCUCCUUGGUCCAACCAAAUGUGAGAUAUAAACACAAACUUGGGAUUCCGUUCUUAUGUUUUGGUUGUUUCAGUCUUUACAGAUGUAUCGAAAGGCUGUCCAAAAAUGUCUGACUUCUGUAGUGUGCCUUCGUAGCACUAGAGGGUUCUGCAGCUGUGAAACUGAAGGCAUUGGCAAGAAGCCCUCCAUCUUCAAACCACUUUCUGCUAAGGUGUGGCUCUAUAAAACCACUAUGAGCUGGGCUUCACUGAGACUGAGUUGUUUCAGUAGGAUCUUCCGGAAAAACAUGUUCCCUCCUUUACCUGGGUUGUCAUUCUGAGAACAAUCACACCUCCAAUUUUGGCUUACUAAGCAAUAGCGUUUUAAUGAUUUUAAGCCAGGAUUUGCUCCUCCUUUCCUCAGUAUGAGAGCUUAACCACUGGAGGAACCAAGAAUUCAUGCUGGUUGGGUUCUGAUUCCACUUUAACUUACUGUAUAGCCUCAUCCCUUGUUUUUCUGGAGAUUCUCUUUUUCUGCUUCACUGAUUUAUAUUUACAUUAAAAUCAAAUGAGGCCAUGUUUCUGAAAUCACAUUGUCCCUACAUGGUCAUUACAAUGAGUCUGUAAUGUGACUGAAAGACAGCCAUGGAUACAGGUAGAGGAUAUCAGGCAAUUGAAUGCUCAUCAAGCAUUCAAUUCAGGGCAAAUGGCAUAAGGUAUGCAGUUGGCCUCUUCUGAUAUCUGUGUCUUAAUCCUUUCUUUAGCCUCUGUUUUCUGGACCAAGGCUAAGAUAUUUUCUGGGCACAGUGGCUCAUGCCUAUAAUCCCAGCACUCUGGGAGGCCAAGGUGGGAGGAUUUCUUCAGCCCAGGAGUUCGAGACCAGCCUGGGGAACAUAGGAGACCUCAUUCCUACAAAUAAUAAAAAAAAUUAGCCAGCUCUGGUGGCGUGUGCUUAUUGGUCUCAGCUACUUGGGAGGCUGAGGUGGGAGGACUGCUUGAGCCCAGAAGAUCGCAGCUGCAUUGAGCCAUGAUUGUGCCACUGAACCCUAGCCUGAGCAACAGAGCAAGGCCUUAUCUCAAAAAAAAAAAAAAAUUCUGAGCCUUCUAAUUUUUUUUUUCUUUAAUUAACUUUCUGUAAGCCCAGCAAGUAAAUAAAACACUUAUUUUAUGAAGCAUCUAGUUGCUUUUAGGGGAAGGGACAUCCUCCGCAUAGUAUCUAGGCCAGCUCACUUUCUUCUCCUUACUGUUGAUUUACUCUCUGCCAUUGAAUCUUCUGUGCCAAUGUUGGAUUAAUGUUUCCGGGCCCUACUUUCAUCAUGCUCCUCUGUAUUAUCACCUGUUUUGGUUUACAGCAAUGAUUUUUAAGGUAAGGCAUGGUGUGUCCAUCAUAGUCACAUGGGAACUUUUUCAAGCCAUAUUAAAAAUGUCCCCCAUUCAUCAUUCUGCCCCUGGAACAGUGUGUGCAGUUGGGACCUUCAAGUAAAUCUACUUUGUUGAAACCCACUGAUCAGCAUGGUGUAUUUCAUAACUCUUUGACUUACAUUCAAGAAAUUCCUUAACCUGAACUCCAUUUUACUCUUUUUUUCAUUCAUUCAAAUUAAGAAUAUUGCCUGAACAUGAAUUAUCUGCUAGACGUUUUUCUAGGUGCAGGAGGAGUAAGGAUGAACAUAACUAGCCAUAACUAUAGCUAUCAAUUGUGGAGUGUCUGUUAUGUGCCAGGCACUUUUAAGUGACCUACUCGAUUUACUUGCAUGACAAACUGUGAGGAAAAGCCCAAUAUUAUCCCCUAUUAACAGAUGAGGAAACUGAAGCACAAACAGCAUGAAUAGUUUGUUCCAGAUUGCAUCAUAAGAGGCACAGCCAGCUUUCCUACCAAAGCAGCCCUGGCCCAGAGUCCGUACUCCCUCCUCCCCUGCCUCUGCCUGGUGGAUAAGGUCACCCUGGCCUUGUGGAACUUAUGCUCUAGUGGGGACAAAUAGUUAUAGAGAAUGACCGAUGUUACUAAGAAAAUAAAAGCUGGUAAGAAAACAGAAGCACUGAGGAGGUGACUGAAGUGAGCAUUUAUAAUUUUAUGUUAUAUCCAUUGUAAAAUAUAAGUUUAGCUUUCUCAUACCAGAAGCAGGGCUCAGUCCACCCUUGACUCAGUUUCCAAUACUGUUCCCCAUCAGAAUGGCUCUUGCUGGUGGCCAGAAGUAAAACUUAGAAAUAUCUCUCUCAGAGACACCUAAGCAGGCUGGGCUCCCCGGUUUCCUGUUGCUUCCUUUAAAGAAGCUCUUCAGACAUCUGCACAAGAACUCAAAGUGACCACCUCUCAGCCCAGCAUGACCUACUGGAACUAAUGCCUGCUUGCUUUCAACCUACCAAUUAAAGCUCCCCAGGAAACCUGUUUAGAUAACACCCUGGACCCAAGAAAGGUGCUGGGCCAUGGGUUUCUUCUCUCUCUCCCUAUCUGUGCUCCCUGACCCCCUGUGUGUGUGUGGUCUCUAGGCUUGCCUUCUAUCCCUGAGGGUCUGUAAAUACUAAAAACACUUAAACUUUCAUAUUGUAGUUGUGUCUUUGAAGCCAGGUCCCCAUCCCGUACCUUGAGGGCAAGGCCUCCUGGAAGGGACCCAUGUAGGUGGAUCCCCUGCUGUCCAGGCCUCUUAGCUGCUGGGGUAGUGACCAGUUAAGUGGAUAGAGUUUCAUUCAAAACAAUAAUCAUUCAACUGUAUCUCACAUCAAACCUCUGCUCUAGUUUAUGUAUCUACUUUAUGUUCUUAGAAGACUGUGCAAACACAUUGUCUUUUUUGAGUACCUGUCUUGUCCUAGGUACUCUGCUUGGUACGGGGAGAGACGAAUCUUCUGUCUUCAGGGGCUUCCACUCCAGCAGGGAGAACAUGACUAAUAGUGACUGCCUGCUGCUGUAGGUAAUAAGUGGCUCCCACUAGGCCCUCCAUUUGGUGGCCCCCUGUCCCUCUCACUGGUGGAAGCCUACCUGUCCUCUAAGGACCAGCUCACUAAUGUCCUAGAUCCUCACGGACCAGAUUGCUUUUCUCAGAACUGAAGAGCACUUACUAAUGGCACCUCUUGUCAUAUGCCAUCCCAGGAUUUGAAUUUUUUUUUUUUUUCUGUCUUGUGGCCCAAAUAAAUCCUGAACUCCUCGAGGGCUGGGAGUGUAUCUAGCAGUUUCCUUAUACUGGACUAAUCAGAUGCUGACUAGGUAGCAGUGAGAAAAAUCUAGAAAUUCCCUUUUAGCCACAUCGACUUACACGAGGGGAUGUGUGUAAGGUACUAUAGCUCUUUAAACAAGAGGUGGUCUCGUUUGAAGGGUGGAUUGAUGUGGGUGUUCAAAUGAUGUCACAAGUGGCUGGUUUCUCUGUCUCCAUUUCUUUUUUUUUUGGCUCCAUUUCCAAAUUUCCCAGAUAGCACAGCAAGUUGGCCCCAGCAGCUCUAGACACUCCAUCUUCUCAGGGCAUAGCCAACACAAUAAAAUAUUUCAAGUUCCUGAAAGAUAGCUGAAAUAAGCCCUAGAAGUUUCUGGAUUGGGAGCAGAGCCAAACCUGCCAGCUCACAUAGAUGAGGGCAGGGAAUAGGGUGUCUCACGAUCACAGUGUCCUGCCUUCUGAUUUGCCUGGGACUGUCCUGUUUUGGCACCAAAAAUAUCUGCAUCCUAGGAAACCCUCAGGUCCUGGGCAAAUUCAGACAGUGACUUGCCCUAUCAGAAGCAAAGCAAGGUGCCAUUACCUGAGGUGGGCAAAUUCAGACAGUGACUUGCCCUAUCAGAAGCAAAGCAAGGUUGCCAUUACCUGAGGUGGGCAAAUGGAGGCUGGGUGGCCAGUGAGUGACCAAUAACCCCAGCAUUGGAGAGAGUGGAGCAGCCCUUCAAGAAGUUCCAACCUCUGCCCAGGACUGGUUUUACCAACUUCACUAGGCUUAGAAUCGUAGGAAGUCUAUUUGGGACUUGCGAGUCUCACGUAUUCCUGCCUAAAUGUUUAUGGAUACCUGUUUAGAGCUGAAAUCUUUUCAGCUCCCAUAAUAUGAGGGAAUUAGGUCUCAAAGAAGAUCAUGUAUUUUGAUCAGACCUUAUAGCUGAGCAGUGGAAAGAAAAAAAAUCAGUGUGAGAUCUCCCAGGGUUCCGCAGGAGUGGCUUCCUUAGUCCAACUGGCAGCCUAUCCUGGAAUAUUGCCUGGGAGAGAGGUUAGUUGCUUUUCCUGGUGCUAGGAACUGAAUGGUUUUACAUAUUGAUCAAUGAAAAUACUUAUUUGGCCUACAAUAGGUGCAAAAAUACUGCUAAUUACUAACAGUAUCUCUUCUUUGCUGCGUGCCAGACACUCCACUGGGCAUUAUGCAGUUAAUAUGUACCAUGAAUUUCCCGUGGUUAGCAAUGAUGUCAGGCAUAGAAAAGACAUGAAAUUAUGAUGUCAAAUGAAUAAACUGGAAAAAGGAAUUUCUUGAAUUUUCUCCAGCUGUCCUAAGAAUGUAUCUAUACUUUGAUCCUGGCCUACCUUUUCAACAUCUAAACUUUAUUCCCCCAAGCUUCUAGAUAUUCAAAGUUAAGUAUUAAAUAAAAUCAGUAAAUAUAUACAAGCUUGUUUGGCCAUUCUGAAUAAGGUUAUAUUUCCACCACACAAUCUCCAAAUUCUCUAGCAGAAGGGAUCAGUAUGUUAUAGAUACCCCCUUUCCUUCCCUCCCUGGCAAGCCACCACAUCUGUUAUGGGUACUCAAUGCAGUGGCUGCACCUGGGCCUCACUCAUUAAGCAGUUGUUGAUUGAGUGACUGAAUUGAAUGCCUGAUGAGCUCGCAAGUAAGAUUCAGACUGUGCCUGCAAACUAAUAGGAUCCCUCCGCUUUUUAUUCACUACUGCUGAGGUAGAUCUCAGGCCAGCCUGAAGUUUAGGUCUACUGAGAAAUAAUAAGCCUCAAAAAUCGAGCUUUGCUUCACCCAGUCUCCCAGUAAACACUAAGAAAUGUUCACAUUAUUUACACAUCCUAGACUGCCUGUCUUAUGGACCAAAUGUUUGUGUUCUCCCCGCAAUUUAUACAUUGGAAUCCUAACCCUCAAUGUAAUAGCAUUAGGUGCUGGGGUCUUUGGGAGGUGAUUGGCUAAUGGACCUGGAGCCCUCAUGAUGGGAUGAGUCCCCUUAUCAGAAGAGACCUGAGAAGGCUUGCUUCCUCUCCCUGUGCUCUUCAUGAUGUGAAGACACAAGAAGACAGCCAUCUGUGGGCCAGGAAGAGGUCCUCACUGGAACCCAACCAUGCUGGCACCCCAAUCUUGAAUUUCUAGCUUCAAGAACUUGGGAAAUAAAUGUAAGCCAGCCAGCUUAUGGAUUUGUUACAGCAGCCUAAGCUAAGUCAGAGUCUCUAGAACAGCUGGUCUGGGGCAGCGGUGAAGGGAGGUGGGUGGGCAUAUGACCCUGCCCUGCACAUGAAUGGCAAAGGCAACUGGAGAGCCUCUCCCUUUUGGUGAGAUCCCCAGUCCACAAGGGCAUGUUCAUCCAUAGCUUUACUUCCCGAAGCAAAUUCUGGUUCCUGGGGCCUGUGCCUCCAUAGAUGGCAUGAUCUGCAGCCUCCUGUGGUAAUUUACCCUCUUCCUAAAUUUCUGAGUCUUCACAUUUAAGCAAUCCUAGUUAGAUAUCCUCUACCUGUAUCCAUGGCUGUCUUUCAGUCACAUUACAGACUCAUUGUGAUGACCAUGUAGGGACAAUGUGAUUUCAGAAACAUGGCCUCAUUUGAUUUUAAUGUAAAUAUAAAUCAGUGAAGCAGAAAAAGAGAAUCUCCAGAAAAACAAGGGAUGAGGCUGUACAGCAAGUUAAAGUGGAAUCAGAACCCAACUGUAGUCCAUUAUUUGUUUCAAUCCUGCUCUUUUCUACCAUAUCACCCAGUUUCCAAAUCGUUCAGCAAAUUGCCAUGGUCAAUGGGAUUAACCUUUCCCUUUUAUUCUCAGGAAAUCUCCCUUGUCCAUUUUGCAAGACUGUGUGAUUCUUUCUACUGUUACAAGGAAUAAAAGCCUUCCUAAAAAGGUCUUUGGUGCCUUUAUUAUUUUACGGAUCAUUUCUGAGGGAAUUAUUGAACUUCAUUAUGUAACCACCCCUUGGGUUCACCUUGCCCACUGCCUAGACAGAGCCAAUUUAUCCAGACAGGAGAAUUGCAAUGGAGAAAGAGUAAUUC